UACGAAGGGGGCUAGCGUUGCUCGGAAUCACUGGGCGUAAAGGGGGCGUAGGCGGGCCUUUAAGUCAGGGGUGAAAUCCUGGAGCUCAACUCCAGAACUGCCUUUGAUACUGAAGAUCUUGAGUUCGGGAGAGGUGAGUGGAACUGCGAGUGUAGAGGUGAAAUUCGUAGAUAUUCGCAAGAACACCAGUGGCGACGGCGGCUCACUGGCCCGAUACUGACGCUGAGGCACGAAAGCGUGGGGAGCAAACAGG
rnacentral:rRNA from 1 species